UUGGUUCACCUGCGGAGGCGGGCUCUUGACGGACAGAGGAAUUGUCCAAUAGCCGAUGAGGACAAGGGGGCGAGCAGGGCAGGAGGGACCAAAUCCGGUUCCUCCCCACCCAUCCCCACCAGUCUCCUGGGCUCUGAAUGCUGAGUGGGCUGAGCGCCCGGCUGGAACCCCACCACUUUACCUCCCACACUCUGCACACCCCAAACCGAGAAGCCUCUUCAGUUUCUUACUCUUGUUAAUAAUACCUCACGGCUUCCUCUCCAUUGCUUUGCCGACCGGUCCAGACCCCUCUCCCAGGCGCCACAGACUUAUAUUCAACCACUUGUACACCUCCUUCGCGGGGGCGGUAGGUACGCCUUCCUGCCAAGCCUGCGCUUGCUCUCCUGCCCUAACCUACAGUAAUGGGCCCACUGUCUUCCCAGUGGAAGCCUAAACCAGAAGCCUGGGAGUCUUUUUUUAUUUUAAAGUUUUAUUUAUUUUUAUUAGAGAGAGAGAGAGGUAGCGGGAGAGGGGAGGAACAGAAUCCUAAGCAGACUCCCGUUGAACGCGGAAACCUAACUGGGACUGGAUCUCAGGACCCUGAGAGCAUGAUCUGAGCCCAAACCCAGACUCGAAGGCUUAACUGACUGAACCACCUGGGUGCCCCUGGAAGUCUUGAGUCUUUACUCUCCCUCUUUCCACCCCCUCUCCUGUCAGUUAUCUAAUCCCGUUCGCUUUAUCUCCCAAGUAUCUCUCCAAUCCAGACAUUUGUCUCCAGCGACUUCAGGGCCCUAUUCCAAUCCUCUCAUCUGGCUCUCUACCUUCCACUUAACAAUUUAGCAGCUUUUCUUCCAUAGAAUAUGCAGUGACACUUCUAAAACUUAAAUUCCUGCUCUACAGUCUUCAUUGGUUCCCUAGGGACCAUUGGGCCUUCAAAAGACAAUUACAUUGGUCUGGUCACUGACAGUUACCCGGAAUGGUUAGCAGUUGGUAGGUUGAGAAAGGCUGAGAACCAAGAUACCAGAUAAUCCCUCAGUCCCUCGCCUUGUGGGAUUCCGGUUAUCCCAUUUGCUUACUAAUGGCUUUACUCAAACUCUUCUACUAACUGUCAUAAAGCAAGUGCAAUCCUUUCCUGGAGGAAAGAAAACUAGGAGAUGACCAGAGAGGCCACUUAGAGAGCCCUGAGAAUGUGGUCUUCGGGAAGGAAGACAUGCCGGCUUACCUAGAGAGCCUGGCCAGCCCACCUGGACCCAAGGACGUGUGUGCCAUCAGACAGCUCCUGUCAGACUUACUUCUGGUAUGACAUACUGCCACUCACCCUUGGCCCUUUCCGGAAGUUUUAUCUUGUCAUGAAAGGCAAAGACAGAUGGAGGAACUGUCCAGAGAAAAGGACACUAAGGGGACUGGACAACCGAAUGGAGUACAUGAUCUGGGAGUUUUUGUCAUUGCUGUUACAAAAGACAUCAUUAAGACAAUUGGCAAAAUAUAAAUAAGAGAUCACAAGUAGGCAGAGAGAGG